rnacentral:rRNA from 1 species
GCCCUUCCUACGGGAGGCAGCAGUGGGGAAUAUUGCACAAUGGGGGAAACCCUGAUGCAGCGACGCAGAGUGCGGGAUGACGGCCUUCGGGUUGUAAACCGCUUUCAGCAGGGAAGAAGCCGUGAGGUGACGGUACCUGCAGAAGAAGUACCGGCUAACUACGUGCCAGCAGCCGCGGUAAUACGUAGGGUACGAGCGUUGUCCGGAAUUAUUGGGCGUAAAGAGCUCGUAGGUGGUUGGUCACGUCUGCUGUGGAAACGCAACGCUUAACGUUGCGCGGGCAGUGGGUACGGGCUGACUAGAGUGCAGUAGGGGAGUCUGGAAUUCCUGGUGUAGCGGUGAAAUGCGCAGAUAUCAGGAGGAACACCGGUGGCGAAGGCGGGACUCUGGGCUGUGACUGACACUGAGGAGCGAAAGCAUGGGGAGCGAACAGGAUUAGAUACCCUGGUAGUCCAUGCCGUAAACGUUGGGCACUAGGUGUGGGGGACAUUCCACGUUUUCCGCGCCGUAGCUAACGCAUUAAGUGCCCCGCCUGGGGAGUACGGUCGCAAGGCUAAAACUCAAAGGAAUUGACGGAAGGGC